rnacentral:rRNA from 1 species
UACGAAGGGGGCUAGCGUUGCUCGGAAUUACUGGGCGUAAAGCGCACGUAGGCGGCUUUCUAAGUCGGGGGUGAAAUCCUGGAGCUCAACUCCAGAACUGCCUUCGAUACUGGAGAGCUCGAGUCCGGGAGAGGUGAGUGGAACUGCGAAGUGUAGAGGUGAAAUUCGUAGAUAUUUCGCAAGAACACCAGUGGCGAAAGGCGGCUCACUGGCCCGGUACUGACGCUGAGGUGCGAAAGCGUUGGGGGAGCAAAACAGG